rnacentral:SRP_RNA from 1 species
CCGUGCUAGCUGGGGAGGUAGCGGUGCCCUGUACCUGCAAUCCGCUAUAGCAGGAGUGAUGCUUUGUCUGAGGCUUAAAUCUGUAUAGUCUGCCCUUAGCAAGUGGCGAUGAGAAUUGAGUCUUGCGCAAUAGGCACUUGUGAACCGUGUCAGGUCCGGAAGGAAGCAGCACUAAGCAAGCCCGUUUAUGUGCCGCAAGGUCGCUUAGUUUGAGUUAACUACUAAGGUAACGUGUGUGGCUUUAUGUCGAAGCAAAGUGCACGG